GACGAACCGUGCGAACGUUGUUCGGAAUCACUGGGCGUAAAGCGCACGUAGGCGGAUGUGUCAGUCAGGGGUGAAAUCCCGGGGCUCAACCUCGGAACUGCCUUUGAUACAGCACGUCUCGAGUCCGGAAGAGGUGGGUGGAAUUCCUAGUGUAGAGGUGAAAUUCGUAGAUAUUAGGAAGAACACCGGUGGCGAAGGCGGCCCACUGGUCCGGUACUGACGCUGAGGUGCGAAAGCGUGGGGAGCAAACAGG
rnacentral:rRNA from 1 species